CGCGGAGAAGGGAAAUCAUCUCAGAGCUUUGAGGAUUUACUGUGAUCCCUGCAGCUUCUUCCAACUUGCAACCAUCCGUAAAGACUCCAAAUGAGGGCUGUUUUCUUAGCCACGCUUUGGCGUGGUUCCUCUCCUUCGCAAAGUUCCUUCUCGUUGCUGGAUGUACUGGGAAAGACUCGCAUUGCAGGAACGUGAUGCUGCAUUUCUCCUCGCCUUGGACUAGCCAACGAGCAACGAUAGCUUUGGACCAAUCCAAUGAGGUGCAUGAGUGGAAAAUCAGGAACAACGCACUCCAUUUUAUUCCUUUUUCUUCUUAAAAUCAGCAUGUCAAAGUAGCUGGAUGAAGAAGGCUUCGAUGUAGCUGGAUGCAAAUGGAUGACAUGAGCUGGAGGUGGUGCCCGAGAUAACGGGCAUCCAUCGCUCCUGCGUUCGAGCUGCGGGUCCCGCCGGGAAGGCGGCAGGAAGCGGAGCCUGACGGGUUCUUCCCCGGGUGCAGGGCAGCUUCUCGCUCUGCUUCAUCGCGUUGCUCCGACGUGUCGGAAUCUGCUUCUGGCAGAUGAUUUCCUUCCUGCCCGAUCGUCCAGGCAAGCCCGGACUUGCUCUGCAGCACAGAUAGACGGUACAGCGAAAAAUCCUAUCUGUCCAGGACUGAUCUGCUGGCCUUUGGCAUUUCCUCAUGGACUGUUGCAAACGUCGAGGUCAGAGACCUCGUU